rnacentral:rRNA from 1 species
GACGAACGCUGGCGGCGUGCUUAACACAUGCAAGUCGAACGAAGUGGCGAACGGGUGGGUAACGCGUAAUAAACCUGCCCUUCAGAGGGGGACAACAGUUGGAAACGACUGCUAAUACCGCAUACGGCAGGAGGAGAUUGCGUCUGAUUAGCUAGUUGGCGUGGUAACGGCCCACCAAGGCGAUACUCAGUCGCCGGUCUGAGAGGAGGAACGGCCACAGUGGGACUGAGACACGGCCCAGACUCCGACGGGAGGCAGCAGUGGGGAGUCUGCCGCAAUGGACGAAAGUCUGACGGAGCAACGCCGCGUGAGUGAUGACGGCCUUCGGGUUGUAAAGCUCUGUUAAUCGGGACGCGGUACCGGAAUAGAAAGCCACGGCUAACUACGUGCCAGCAGCCGCGGUAAUUC